rnacentral:rRNA from 1 species
GCUAUUAGCGAGACCUCAGGUCAGGCGGGGCUACCCGCUGAGUUUAAGCAUAUCAAUAA